rnacentral:piRNA from 1 species
AUGUGUUGGUUAUUUUUGGAGGAGU